rnacentral:rRNA from 1 species
CAGCGAAAUGCGAUAAGUAAUGUGAAUUGCAGAAUUCAGUGAAUCAUCGAAUCUGUGAACGCACCUUGCGCUCCUUGGUAUUCCGAGGAGCAUGCCUGUUUGAGUGUCUUGAAGUCAUCAACCCCCUCCGUUUCGCACGGGGAGGGUUGGACGUGGGGGCUCUGCUGCCGUGAGGCGGCUCCCCUCAAAUGCAUCGGUUGGGCCUGUGGGUCGAACUCGACUGGGCGUUGUACCAUCCUCGCUCGACAGAGACGUUCCCCUUCUGUGCCCUUCCCCGACCUGCCUAUCAGAGGGGCGGUCAAGCAACAAACUCUGAAAUCUGACCUCAAAUCAGGUAGGACUACCCGCUGAACUUAAGCAUAUCAAUAAGCGGAGGAAAAGAAACUAACAAGGAUUCCCCUAGUAACUGCGAGUGAAGCGGGAAAAGCUCAAAUUUGAAAUCUGGCGGCUCCGUCGCCCGAGUUGUAUUCUGGAGAAGCGUUUUCCGUGC